rnacentral:rRNA from 1 species
AGUGAACGCUGGCGGUAGGCCUAACACAUGCAAGUCGAACGGCAGCACAGUAAGAGCUUGCUCUUACGGGUGGCGAGUGGCGGACGGGUGAGGAAUACAUCGGAAUCUACUUUUUCGUGGGGGAUAACGUAGGGAAACUUACGCUAAUACCGCAUACGACCUACGGGUGAAAGCAGGGGAUCUUCGGACCUUGCGCGAUUGAAUGAGCCGAUGUCGGAUUAGCUAGUUGGCGGGGUAAAGGCCCACCAAGGCGACGAUCCGUAGCUGGUCUGAGAGGAUGAUCCCCCCCACGGGAACGGGACCCGGGCCCGGACCCCUGCGGGGGGAAGAGGGGGGGAAUUUGGGACAGGGGGCGAGACCCUGCCCCAGCCCUCCGGGGUGGGGAAAGAGGGCCUUGGGGUUGAAAACCCUUUUUUGGGGAAAAAAAAGCAGCAGGUUAAUCCCCCGCUUUUCUGGCGGUACCAAAAGAAAAAGCCCCGGCUAAUUUCG